UCCGUGAGCAAGACUUGAAGGAACUGAAAAGAACAGGCUCUCAAAUAAAUAGCUCCUCUUCAACCAAAAUGGUCCUACUUCAAGACAGAGAUGGAGUGGAGCAGAAAACACUGGCAGGUAUUGCGGGGUAGACUUGUGCGGACCACACAGCCAGUCCUGUGCUGGAAGAGAGCGCCCCCACAUUUAGCAAGUGAUCUGAACUAAUUGGAGCAGUAAUAAUAGGGUAAAUGUAUCCACCUAAUCAGCUGGAGAAGAGAUAAAGCAGGAAGAGAGGACAGGACUGAUGAGGACAGAAGGAGCUGCUAAAAAUGAUGCUAUUGAUCUUUGUAGUGGUACAAGAUAUUGCAGCAAGGUUAAAAUCUAUGUU